GCUGGAUGCUGUCCACAGGCUGCAGAGGAAUGAGGAGAAUCCUAUCAUUUUCUCAGAAAAGCUUAUGGUGUAUACGUGCUCACCGCCACCCCAGUCCUGCCCGCGUCUCGUCUCGGUGGUGUCAUCAGCACUCUGGGCAAGUUUGGGAAAACUUCCCCAACAUGUUGGAUCUUCAGGAUUCAGGCUGUCUGGAGUCAGGGCGGAAGUCCCCCUUCCCCGUGCGAUGCUCACAGGAACCUGCGCGCAGGGCCUCGCAUCUGCUUCAAGCUGAAGGAGCCCCGGGACUGGCCAGGAGGGGAGUCCGCUGGCCACUGUCGGCAGGCGGAGUGCGGCCGAGCCACUCCGACUCCCCAGCUGGCCUGUGGGCCCCCUCCCCGCCGUGGGCUAUGCCCUCAGCACCUCGCACAGCUUUUAUUGACAAGGUAGAGCCUUGGCAGCGUUGAGAACACUACUGGUUAAAAAAAAACGUUCACCCAGAU
rnacentral:lncRNA from 1 species